AUAGAUCCAUUUACAUCCAAUAGGUAUUAUACCUUCUGGUGGAUCUACUAAGGUUCAGACUUGGUUGGAAUGCAUGGAGUCCAUCUCUGACUUUAUUGCUUCCAGCCAUUGCUCGGAAUCGAUGUCUAACAUCGCCUCUUGUAGGUAUUGGGAUCCUUACCUUGAUCCCUAUCUUCCAUGAGGAACACUUCCUCUACAUCCUCUGUAAGUAUACCUAAGUAACUUUCAGGAGGAUGGAAGAUCCUACUAAAUCUACGAGGUGGAGGAGGUACAACAUGUACUGGCUCAAUAUGAAUAGGUUCUAUAGGCACAAUGGCUCAUUGCUCUUCAGAGACUUUCUCUUAGAGCUCAUUUUUCCUCCCACUG
rnacentral:lncRNA from 1 species